CGGCGGCCCCUGAGCGGCCGCCCCGAGCCUGCCCCGGCGCCUUCUCUCCUGUUCGCCCCGAUUCUGCUUUCCCCCAGUGUGCUUCGGAUUUCUGUCUCCCGCACCCCACGUUCUCAGCCAGCGGGACUAGGGUGGUGUGGACUGGGGGUGGAGCUGUCCCUUGUACCCACUGCCCCACCUGCCCCUACUGGUCCUCCCCCAGCAAGCGCGGAGAGAUGAGAACUAACGACUAGAGACCCGAAAAGCUGAGGUUGCCCCAGCGCGGGGAUCCUCAAAACCAGUAAUCCUCGUGUUGGUGCCGGGAAAGGCUCCAAGGUGGGGAAACUGAGGCUUAGAAAAGGACGUUGGCCAAGGUCACCAGGCAGGGCCAAGCACAGAUCUGCAGGAGACUCUACUGGCCUGUGGCUGACACCAGCAGGUGACUGGACCCCACACUGGGCUCUGGUCCUGGGUCCUUCCUGAGCCCUUGUCACUCAGCUUGCAGAGCAGGAGCCAAGGUCUGUCUCACGUCCCCAGGGACAGUGAGGAGGAGACGGAUGACCCAGAGCCUGCUGGUCACGUGGCUGCAGGCAUAUGACACCUGCAGAGAAGCCAGACAAGCCCCAGCUGUCAUCUGAAUGUCGGCCCCAGGCCUCUGCCUGUUUGUUACCUGUUCAGACCUACGGUUGGAGUUGUAAGAACUCCCAGAAAAAAACCCGGAAGCUCUGCUUCCCCGCCUGCCCAUCCACCAAGUCGGCUGAAUCCUUGUGACCCUUUUGGGGUGUCUGAUGGAGUAGAGCCGAGCAGACCCUUGCAUCUACCCCUUCUUUCAGUGGUACUUUACUCCCAGGGCCUCAGUUUCCCCACGUGUGAGGUAAAGGUGCCUACCUCUCAGGCAGAGAACUUUGCAUGAGCUACUUGUAUACCUGGUGUCCCGUCAGGUCUGAGGAGGUGUCCAGUCACCCUGUCUCCCUGCAACUCCGUGACUGCGCAUGUCCAACUCGAUUGGGUUUAGCACUGUGGUUCCAGCACACAGAAGAAGUCCUUUCUGAGUCGUUUCACCUGUGCUGCACGAUGACCCUCUAGCCUGAGACCCUCAUCCAGGACUCACCCAGGCAGGACUCCCACGGGCAGGACUCGAUGCUGGGCAAGAGGGUGGACAAGGAAGCAGGCAUGGGUCACUUGCUUGCCCUGGGCCCUGGGGAAGUUCCAGGGUGUACCAUGACCGCUGUCCUCUUCAGUGUCCUGCUGCUGGGAGUCUGGUAGACCUAGGACUGUCCCUCCAGACUCUGAUACUCCCUGUCCCACGCUGCUGAGUCCCCAGAGGAUUGUUGGCCACAUCUGGGUAACUCAGGGAAAGGAGUCCUGUCCUGUGGGGAUAGUGGUUUUCCUCUGAGGCUAAGUGCAGGAUGAACACAGGCAUGGGAGGUAAUGGGGCUGAAAUCACAUGGGCCCUGAGCCUAUUCCCUUCCAUCAUACAAGUGAGCGGAGCACACAGGGCCUUCGGGCUCCCACGGUGCCUCGGGUGAGGACUGAAGCAGGAGCUGCUGCAGUCCCUGGGCUGUGGUGUGCACACUGUCCAGGCCUCUUCUGGGAUUGCCAUGAGGAAUAAAGCUUGAUGAAGAAUGCAAAGGCUGCCUGACACGGAGGGGCACACCUCUAACCCUGGCACUCGGGAGGCAGAGAGGCUGGCGGAUCUCUGUGAGUUCAAAGCCAGCCUGGUCCGCAGUGUGAGUUCCAUGACAGCCAGGGCUGCCUAGUGAGACUCUGCCUUAGGGCAGAGACUGGCCAGCAAGGUGGUUCAAUGGGUAAAAAUGUAUUAAUAAUUAAUAAUAAUAACAAAUUAAAAUCUUGUAAUACAUAGUCUAGGUAUGUGUGGUGCACACCUGUAAUCUGGACACUUGGGAGGGAGGAGCAAGACAACCACUGAGUCUGAGGUAACCCGGGCUACAUAUUGAGUUCUGGGCCAGCUGGGGCUACAUAGGGACACUCUGUCUCAAGCAAGCAAGCUGAUGCCAAGUGAAUGCUAUGAAUCUACGAGGCAGAGACAAAGAUCAGGAGUCUGAGGUCAUCCUCACAUCUAUUGUAAGUUUGAGGCCAGCCUGGGCCAUAUGAGAUACCCCCUAAAAAUAAACAUUUUCAAAAUGCCAAGAGCAA